AACGAACGCUGGCGGCAUGCCUAACACAUGCAAGUCGAACGAGACCUUCGGGUCUAGUGUCGCACGGGUGCGUAACGCGUGGGAACCUGCCCUUAGGUUCGGAAUAACUCCCCGAAAGGGGUGCUAAUACCGGAUAAUGUCUUCGGACCAAAGAUUUAUCGCCUUUGGAUGGGCCCGCGUUGGAUUAGCUAGUUGGUAGGGUAAAAGCCUACCAAGGCGACGAUCCAUAGCUGGUCUGAGAGGAUGAUCAGCCACACCGGGACUGAGACACGGCCCAGACUCCUACGGGAAGCAGCAGUGGGGAAUAUUGGACAAUGGGCGAAAGCCUGAUCCAGCAAUGCCGCGUGAGUGAUGAAGGACUUAGGGUUGUAAAGCUCUUUUACCCGGGAUGAUAAUGACAGUACCGGGAGAAUAAGCUCCGGCUAACUCCGUG
rnacentral:rRNA from 1 species